GAUGAACGCUGGCGGCGUGCCUAAUACAUGCAAGUCGAGCGAACAGACGAGGAGCUUGCUCCUCUGACGUUAGCGGCGGACGGGUGAGUAACACGUGGAUAACCUACCUAUAAGACUGGGAUAACUUCGGGAAACCGGAGCUAAUACCGGAUAAUAUAUUGAACCGCAUGGUUCAAUAGUGAAAGACGGUUUUGCUGUCACUUAUAGAUGGAUCCGCGCCGCAUUAGCUAGUUGGUAAGGUAACGGCUUACCAAGGCAACGAUGCGUAGCCGACCUGAGAGGGUGAUCGGCCACAAUGGAACUGAGACAAGGUCCAGACUCCUAAGGGAGGCAGCAGUAGGGAAUCUUCCGCAAUGGGCGGAAGCCUGACGGAGCAAAGCCGCGUGGGUGAUGAAGGUCUUCGGAUCGUAAAACUUUGUUAUUAGGGAAGAACAAAUGUGUAAGUAACUAUGCACGUCUUGACGGUACCUAAUCAGAAAGCCACGGCUAACUACGUG
rnacentral:rRNA from 1 species